rnacentral:rRNA from 1 species
UACGGAGGAUCCAAGCGUUAUCCGGAAUCAUUGGGUUUAAAGGGUCCGUAGGCGGCCCCGAUAAGUCAGUGGUGAAAUCUCCCGGCUCAACCGGGAAAUGGCCAUUGAUACUGUCGGGCUUGAAUUAUUAGGAAGUAACUAGAAUAUGUAGUGUAGCGGUGAAAUGCUUAGAUAUUACAUGGAAUACCGAUUGCGAAGGCAGGUUACUACUAAUGGGAUUGACGCUGAUGGACGAAAGCGUGGGUA